rnacentral:rRNA from 1 species
AGAGUUUGAUCCUGGCACAGAGCGAACGUUAGCGGCGGGCCUAACACAUGCAAGUCGAACGAGAAUGUAGGCUUCGGUCUACUAGUAAAGUGGCGGACGGGUGCGUAACACGUGGGUAAUCUACCUUCCGGCGGGGGACAACAGUCCGAAAGGAUUGCUAAUACCGCAUACGUCAGCGGCGCCUACGGGCGCUGUUGGGAAAGAUGGCCUCUCCUUGGAAGCUGUCACCGGAAGAUGAGCCCGCGUCCCAUCAGCUAGUUGGUGAGGUAACGGCUCACCAAGGCUUAGACGGGUAGCUGGUCUGAGAGGAUGAUCAGCCACACUGGACUGCGACACGGCCCAGACUCCUACGGGAGGCAGCAGUGGGGAAUAUUGGGCAAUGGGCGAAAGCCUGACCCAGCCACGCCGCGUGAGUGAUGAAGGCCUUCGGGUCGUAAAGCUCUGUGGGGAGGGACGAACAAGCUCGGUGUUAAUAACACCGGGCCCUGACGGUACCUCCUUAGCAAGCACCGGCUAACCCUGUGCCAGCAGCCGCGGUAAUACAGGGGGUGCAAACGUUGCUCGGAAUCAUUGGGCGUAAAGCGCACGUAGGCGGUUCGUUAUGUCGGAUGUGAAAGCCCUUGGCUUAACCGAGGAAGUGCAUCCGAAACUGGCGAGCUAGAGUACUAAAGAGGAUCGCGGAAUUCCCGGUGUAGAGGUGAAAUUCGUAGAUAUCGGGAGGAACACCGGUGGCGAAGGCGGCGAUCUGGGUAGAUACUGACGCUGAGGUGCGAAGCGUGGGGAGCAAACAGGAUUAGAUACCCUGGUA